GGGACUGCGGGAGAGCGCCCCGGCCCCGGCCCGCCCGCAUAGGUGCCCUGGCAGCUCAGAUUCCGGACCACCUGCAGUCCCAAGCACGUAACCUGGUAGGCCCCAGCAUGACCCAAGGUUUCCCUAACCCCACGGCGCCGUUAGCCUAAGGAAAACAACCCCAGGGCGCAGCGUAUCCGACUGGGCGCGCAGUGUUUGCGUCCGGAGCGCGCACAGCGCGGGAGACGUGGGCGUGAAGGAGCUAGCUGGACUGUAGGAGCUGGAGAGACCUGGGAUAGGGACUAGGCGCCUCCGCCUUCAAGCUCUGUGACCUUGGGCAAGUCACGUCGUCUCCCGGAGCCUCCAGCAAGGACUGCUGCUGGAGUCUCCUGUUCCCCACCCCCAUUCCCUAAUCGGGUUAAAAUAAACAGAGGGUUACCUAGAAUGAGAAAGGAAAUGAUAAGCGCGUAUCAAAUGCACUGGGCGAGUAGUCAGAAAAGGAGAGGGCUCUACGGUGGGUGGGGAGGGGGAUGAGAAGCGUGAGGGCAGGAUCUCAAACUAAAACGUCUACAGUGGCCCGACGAUAAUACAAAUGGAUGUUGCACGCUGGGCAAUAUGAGUGGUCUUCGCUCCACAAAGAGAUAUGAGCUCGCCUAUAUUUCUUGAAACAUGAGGCCCUCUCUUGAUGCUAAAAGUGAGGGCCAGAGAGAUCAAAUUGCCUGGCCAAGGUCACCCAGCCAGGGAGCCACAGAGCAGGCUUCAAGCCCCAGGAGGCUGCUCCAGAGCCCAACGCCUGACAUCUGCACGACCCAUCCUCCCUGGGUCCAAGGACUGCUGGGUGUGACGACUUACAGAGAACUUUUUAUUUUGGAAUUAUUAUAGAUUCACAGGAAGUUGCAAAGACAGCACAGAGAGGUCCCAUGCACCUUCAUUCAGUUCCCCCCAUGCAGUGGUUACAUCCUACAUAACUCUAGAAUAAUGCAAGACCAGGAAACUGGCAUUGGUACAACAUGUGCAUAUUGUUCUGUCAUUUUAUCACCUGUGGAGAUUCCCGAAGUCACCACAGCAAUCAAGAUACAGAACUGUCCCAUCACCACAAAGAUGUUCCUUGUGCUGUUCCUUUAUUGUCACCUCCAUCCCCUUCACCCUCCCCAACCCCUGGCAACCACUAAUCUGUUUGCCAUCUCUGUAACUGCCGUGGAAGUAUAUGAUAUGUUAGCUCUUGAGAAUGGCUUUUCCACUCGCAAAGUAUUUAUUUUAAAAUAAAUAGUUAUUGAGUGUCUACUACAUAUCAGGCUGGUGUUAAUCCCUUUCAGAAAUAUAUUACAUAAGAUUCGGUUGGUUGCAAGUGAUAGAAUCCACCUCAUACUCUAUUGUAAAAGGGACUGUGUGGUCCGGCCGAGUGGCACGUUGGUUAAGAGCUGGCU